GCGUAGAGAAAGCUUGCUUUUUCUACAAUCUAGUGGCAAACGGGUGAGUAACGCGUAAACAACCUGCCCUACGGAUGGGGACAACAGCUGGAAACGGCUGCUAAUACCGAAUACGUUCCGAAAGUCGCAUGACUAUCGGAAGAAAGGAUGGCCUCUAUUUAUAAGCUAUCGCCGGAGGAGGGGUUUGCGUCUGAUUAGCUAGUUGGAGGGGUAACGGCCCACCAAGGCGACGAUCAGUAGCCGGUCUGAGAGGAUGAACGGCCACAUUGGAACUGAGACACGGUCCAGACUCCUACGGGAGGCAGCAGUGGGGAAUCUUCCGCAAUGGGCGAAAGCCUGACGGAGCAACGCCGCGUGAGUGAAGACGGCCUUCGGGUUGUAAAGCUCUGUUAUACGGGACGAAUAGUCUUGUGGUUAAUACCCAUGAGAAGUGACGGUACCGUAAGAGAAAGCCACGGCUAACUACGUGCCAGCAGCCGCGGUAAUACGUAGGUGGCAAGCGUUGUCCGGAAUUAUUGGGCGUAAAGGGCGCGCAGGCGGCUUCUUAAGUCUGUCUUAAAAGUGCGGGGCUUAACCCCGUGAUGGGAUGGAAACUGGGAAGCUCAGAGUAUCGGAGAGGAAAGCGGAAUUCCUAGUGUAGCGGUGAAAUGCGUAGAUAUUAGGAGGAACACCAGUGGCGAAAGCGGCUCUCUGGACGAAAACUGACGCUGAGGCGCGAAAGCCAGGGGAGCGAACGGGAUUAGAUACCCCGGUAGUCCUGGCCGUAAACGAUGGGUACUAGGUGUAGGAGGUAUCGACCCCUUCUGUGCCGGAGUUAACGCAAUAAGUACCCC
rnacentral:rRNA from 1 species